GAUGAACGCUGGCGGCGUGCCUAAUACAUGCAAGUCGAGCGAACAGAUGAGGAGCUUGCUCCUCUGACGUUAGCGGCGGACGGGUGAGUAACACGUGGAUAACCUACCUAUAAGACUGGGAUAACUUCGGGAAACCGGAGCUAAUACCGGAUAAUAUAUUGAACCGCAUGGUUCAAUAGUGAAAGACGGUUUUGCUGUCACUUAUAGAUGGAUCCGCGCCGCAUUAGCUAGUUGGUAAGGUAACGGCUUACCAAGGCAACGAUGGGUAGCCGACCUGAGAGGGUGAUCCGCCACACUGGAACUGAGACACGGUCCAGACUCCUACGGGAGGCCGCAGUAGGGAAUCUUCCGCGAUGGGCGAAAGCCUGACGGAGCACCGCCGCGUGAGUGAUGAAGGUCUUCGGAUCGUAGAGCUCUGUUAUUAGUGGAGAACAAAUGUGUAAGUAACUAAGCACGUCUUGACGGUACCUAAUCAGAAAGCCCCGGCUAACUCCGUG
rnacentral:rRNA from 1 species